rnacentral:rRNA from 1 species
AACGUACGCUGGCGGCAUGCCUAACACAUGCAAGUCGAACGAGAUCUUCGGGUCUAGUGGCGCACGGGUGCGUAACGCGUGGGCAUCUGCGCCUUGGUUCGGAAUAACAGUUGGAAACGACUGCUAAUACCGGAUGAUUACGAAAGUCCAAAGAUUUAUCGCCAGAGGAUGAGCCCGCGUAGGAUUAGCUAGUUGGUGUGGUAAAGGCGCACCAAGGCGACGAUCCUUAGCUGGUCUGAGAGGAUGAUCAGCCACACUGGGACUGAGACACGGCCCAGACUCCUACGGGAGGCAGCAGUGGGGAAUGUUGGACAAUGGGCGAAAGCCUGAUCCAGCAUGCCGCGUGAGUGAUGAAGGCCUUAGGGUUGUAAAGCUCUUUUACCCGGGAUGAUAAUGACAGUACCGGGAGAAUAAGCUCCGGCUAACUCCGUGCCAGCCGCCGCAGUAA